rnacentral:rRNA from 1 species
AAAUUGAAGAGUUUGAUCAUGGCUCAGAUUGAACGCUGGCGGCAGGCCUAACACAUGCAAGUCGAACGGUAACAGGAAGCAGCUUGCUGCUUCGCUGACGAGUGGCGGACGGGUGAGUAAUGUCUGGGAAGCUGCCUGAUGGAGGGGGGUAACUACUGGAAACGGUAGCUAAUACCGCAUAA